rnacentral:tRNA from 2 species
AGUAGGGUCAGCUAACGUCAAGCUAUUGGGCCCAUACCCCGAUCACGAUGGUUCAACUCCGUCCCCUACUA